rnacentral:rRNA from 1 species
GACGAACGCUGGCGGCGUGCUUAACACAUGCAAGUCGAACGGAAAGGCCCUGCUUUUGUGGGGUGCUCGAGUGGCGAACGGGUGAGUAACACGUGAGUAACCUGCCCUUGACUUUGGGAUAACUUCAGGAAACUGGGGCUAAUACCGGAUAGGAGCUCCUGCUGCAUGGUGGGGGUUGGAAAGUUUCGGCGGUUGGGGAUGGACUCGCGGCUUAUCAGCUUGUUGGUGGGGUAGUGGCUUACCAAGGCUUUGACGGGUAGCCGGCCUGGGAGGGUGACCGGCCACAUUGGGACUGAGAGACGGCGCAGACUCCGACGGGAGGCAGAGGUGGGGAAUAUUGCACAAUGGGCGGAAGCCUGAUGCAGCAACGCCGCGUGCGGGAUGACGGCCUUCGGGUUGUAAACCGCUUUCGCCUGUGACGAAGCGUGAGUGACGGUAAUGGGUAAAGAAGCACCGGCUAACUACGUG